UACGUAGGGGCCUAGCGUUGUCCGGAUUUAUUGGGCGUAAAGAGCUCGUAGGCGGUUCGGUAAGUCGGGUGUGAAAACUCCAGGCUCAACCUGGAGAUGCCACUCGAUACUGCUGUGACUUGAAUCUGGUAGGGGAGCACGGAAUUCCUGGUGUAGCGGUGAAAUGCACAGAUAUCAGGAGGAACACCGGUGGCGAAGGCGGUGCUCUGGGCCAGUAUUGGACGCUGAGGAGGCGAAAAGCGUGGGGAGCGAACAGG
rnacentral:rRNA from 1 species